rnacentral:rRNA from 1 species
GACGAACGCUGGCGGCGUGCUUAACACAUGCAAGUCGAACGGAAAGGCCCUGCUUUUGUGGGGUGCUCGAGUGGCGAACGGGUGAGUAACACGUGAGUAACCUGCCCUUGACUUUGGGAUAACUUCAGGAAACUGGGGCUAAUACCGGAUAGGAGCUCCUGCUGCAUGGUGGGGGUUGGAAAGUUUCGGCGGUUGGGGAUGGACUCGCGGCUUAUCAGCUUGUUGGUGGGGUAGUGGCUUACCAAGGCUUUGACGGGUAGCCGGCCUGAGAGGGUGACCGGCCAAAUUGGGACUGAGAUACGGCCCAGACCCCUACGGGAGGGAGGAGUGGGGAAUAUUGCAACAUGGGCGGAAGCCUGAUGCAGCAACGCCGCGUGCGGGAUGACGGCCUUCGGGUUGUAAACCGCUUUCGCCUGUGACGAAGCGUGAGUGACGGUAAUGGGUAAAGAAGCACCGGCUAACUACGUG